UGGUGGAACGUAUUUAGAGAUCGACGUUGUAUAAGACGACUCCUAGUUUUAAGAAAACAAAUUGAAGCUUCAAAGGUCAACUUACAGGCCACUGUACUGUACAUCUACAUGAGUAAAGUUGGACUCACAAACAAACCUCCAGAACAUAACUCAUUCAUCAGUAGAGCUCCCUCCUCCUAUAGUGGCUUAUAAUCAUUGUGAACAGUACAUCAUUUGGGGGAAGUAUUUUCAUUGCAGAAAAGUAUCUUGGCUUUUAUAAUGGGAGUCUAUGGAAAAAUUGAUGUGAUUUACUAAAGGUUUCUCAGGAACAAAACUUUUAUAAACUGAGGAAUGUCUGUAAAACCUUUCUAAUAUUAAAAGUACCAGAAAAUAUUAAGUAAAAUACCAGAUAGUAAUUACGGUUCAGUUAACUUCAGGUCUAGUUCACUGCAGGUCCAGCUCAAUUCGGGUCCAUUUUAGCCAGUGGGGGAGAAAGUAUAUGAAAAUAUUACUUAAGAUAAAGUACUGCACUGUUACUAUGUAAAAAUUAAAACUUGUAUUAGUACACGGAGUCCCCGACUUAUGAACACCCUCCGAUAUGAACGGUGUUAAACUUGAAAUUUACAAUAUUUCAUCAGAUAACAUUUUUUACUUUCAUUUACUGUAUUGUCAAUUCAUUUCUUUUUUUUGUCUUAAAUUAAAUGAUUUUAGAUGUAUAUAAGGACUUUGGCUGUGAUAUAGUGAGAUUUUAAACAUUGUUCUGUAAGUACGGUAUGCUCCUAGCAUGCAUUCCGACUUACAAAUCCGACUCAGAAUGUCGUCAGGAAUGGAACCCGUUCGUAACCUGGGGACCCCCUGUAAUCUUCUUCAAAACUACUUUAGUAAUACAGGCUGUAGUUUAAUUAACUGAAGUGAAACAUAAAAGUAGAAGGGUAAAAUAACAGUAGUAUUUGUAAAUUAUCAUAAUUGAUAAUGUAAUACUGCUUUGAAAAUGAAGCUAAAAGUUAUUAAUAAACUUAAAAGAUAAAUAAUAUAUACGAGACUGAGAAACACUAAUGUAGCUACAAUACACAUUAGGUUAAUUUAGAGUUGAGUUUCAGUGAUAACUAAUCUUCAUAUUUCUUGUGGCACACCUGGGUUGGAAUAUCAGUUCAGCUUAGGUGUUAAUGAUUUUAUGCUUUUACUUUAUGUACACUU